rnacentral:rRNA from 1 species
GAUGAACGCUGGCGGCGUGCCUAAUACAUGCAAGUCGAGCGAACAGACGAGGAGCUUGCUCCUCUGACGUUAGCGGCGGACGGGUGAGUAACACGUGGAUAACCUACCUAUAAGACUGGGAUAACUUCGGGAAACCGGAGCUAAUACCGGAUAAUAUAUUGAACCGCAUGGUUCAAUAGUGAAAGACGGUUUUGCUGUCACUUAUAGAUGGAUCCGCGCGGCAUUAGCUAGUUGGUAAGGUAACGGCUUACCAAGGCAACGAUGCAUAGCCGACCUGAGAGGGUGAUCGGCCACACUGGAACGGAGACAGGGUCCAGACUCCUACGGGAGGCAGCAGUAGGGAAUCUUCCGCAAUGGGCGAAAGCCUGACGGAGCAACGCCGCGUGAGUGAUGAAGGUCUUCGGAUCGUAAAACUCUGUUAUUAGGGAAGAACAAAUGUGUAAGUAACUAUGCACGUCUUGACGGUACCUAAUCAGAAAGCCACGGCUAACUACGUG